UCCCUGGAUGAGAGGUGGUGUCCGUCCUAC
rnacentral:piRNA from 1 species